AGGCUGUGUCUCAAAGGAGGAAUGCUGACGGGUGUCUCACGACGGGAGCGGCCUCCAAUGCUUACUCGCGCUUUGUGCUGCAGCAGCCAUGGUGAGGAGACGGAGGGAGGGAGGGAGGAAGCAGCGCCCGGCCGCACCGGCAACAACGGCGGGGAUGAGGGGAGGAGCCGAGCGGCGGCGCUGCCGUCUCAGGUUCCCGCCCCUCGAGCCUUGGUCUUCUCAGCCGCAGUGCAACCCGCUACAGCUUUCCUCCCAGCGGGAUUGUUGUUUAGGCCGUGCUGGACAAAAGAUGGAAGAAUUCUUUGCUCAGACCAAGAGCCUCAUUUAUUUCUUGUCCGCCCCUCUCUUCUUUACGUGCAUUGCACUUUUGCAUGCCGUACCUAACCUGGGAAGAAGCAGAUACGAACUUACGGAGUUUAUGAGAGAAGGAGGAAAAAGGGGGCUUAUGGGAAGCUCGAAACCAUCUCCUCGCUUAAUUGACAGAUUACUGCUAUUAAUAUUGUUAGGGAAGCUUCAGGAAACAGAAUCGACUUUCAGCAUUCAGUUGAAUGAGAAUGCUCCUCAGCCGCAGACACUGGAAGGGAUGCUGGCAAAGGAUGUGUUUUCUCCUGCAUUAGGUCACAUGCAAAUCACUUAAGGAACCAUAGGCUGCACCCAUAAGUUGACUGAAAACUGAAAGCACAGGAAGAUAGUUUUGUCUAGAUGCAUUAGCACAAAGAUAACACCAAUUUUUCAUCAUCUAUUUGGGUAGGAAAUGGAAGUUGUAAUACUAUACGUACAUACUGGGGGGGGAGUAAGCCCCAUUCAACUCAGUGUGACUUAUGUCUAAGUAGAUACAGGAUUCAGCUGUAAGUCUUAACUAUAGAAAAAAGUUUUGUGAAUUUCAAUGAAUGUGAUAUGGUUCUAGCAGUAUAUGUUUCAUAAAAUCUGGCUGAUCAGAACUGGGUUUCAAAGAUGCUCCUUACAAAUGUGCUAAAAGCCAAAUAGCAAUAAUCUAGUUCCAUAGCUAUAUGAACAACACAGGCACUAUCUAUACUGAACAUCUUACUAACCAUGAACAGAGCAUCUCCAUGACAACUGUGGUCUAUAUAUAUUUCUGCAAACUACUCUCAUCUGAAAGUUUACCAUGUUCUUUGAACCAUUUGAGUCUGGAAUUGGAGAAAGAUGAGCACUAUGCACAGCCAUAUCCCAAGAUGUAGUGCUUCAAACUUUAUGUUACUAUAAUACACAUUUCCAGAGUGUAUAAUAGUAAAACAGUAAGAAAUGUUUGAAUAUAAUAGUAAUACACUGCCGAACAACUCUAUUUAUAUCAAGAUUUUAACAAUACUUGGCAGUCCUUAAAUAAUUCCCAGCAUUAUUCAAAACUUUAGUUAUUUUUCUCAUAUUCGUACCCUCUGUUAAUCCUGGCGUCUCAGCAAUUUUUCAAAUAUUAGCCAACCAUUUCUGGAUUCUUGAGGGUUUCUAUGGAAUGCCAUUUGGAAGAAACUAAAAAUCUUGCUCCUAUUUUAACGGAUUCAGAAUUGGAGUUUGGUGUUCUUUAGUAACUAGAUUAUCACAAAAUGUUUGUGAUAGUGAUUGGAAUAUUGUAAUUGGUUAUCAGAAAUAUGUUAGUUGGUACAGUGUUCAGAGAGAGAGAGGGUGCUGGAUGUGGAGCUUUUCCCUUGCGUGCAUUCAUGCAUGUAGUGAGAUCAACUACGUUCACGGAUCUCUCUUACUAAAUCAAGAGUGAGUUCCUACCCUGUCUGCAUUAAUAUUCCUAAAUAGCUACCACAUAUUGUCAUAGUGGAGCCUUAACAAACUACUACCCAGUAUUUAUACAAUAAAUGUGAUAGGGUGUUUCCAAAUAGGAGUUUAUAGCAGAAUCAGUGCUCUUCAUGCACACAAUAAAUUUUGUAGUGUCCACAUGACAAUGUCAUCAUCAAAAUUCCAGACUGUAUUUCCCCCCCUUUAAUCUGGAUUUCCAAUUACUGCAGAAAAUCUGAUAAUUAAAAAUGACCCAUUAAACAUUUUCACUUUCACCACUGUUACAGAACCUCAUUCUUUUUUCCCCCUGUUUGGGGUGGUGAUUUGUCACAUGUGGGGAUAUUUUGUUGGAACUACAAUCACACCCCUUCUUGAGCACAAAAAGCCCUUUUUAAUUGAAAGACACCUGUUUCCACAAAUUGUUGCAUUCUGAAGGCAUACCUGAAUUUCAGCAAUCUUCUUCAGAGGAGAUAUUCUCUCAAGAUCUCCACAUGGUAAAUGUGUGAAAUUAAUUUGGAGGCUGUAAUCCCAGUACAAACAUAAGGCUUCUUUUUUAAGUUACCAAUAUUUCGGUAUUCCAUUUCUCCUAUGGGAGGGUUGUUUUUGUUUGUUGGUUUUGUUUUGUUUGUUUUUUGAGGGGGUAAAUGAGUAAUUGUGCUAUUGAUGGCUAUGGAGGCCUAUGAGGCAUUCCUAAGGUUUCUGGAUAUUGCUGUCAUUGCCACCCACCUCACAAAAUCAAACAGAUUGUUAUACCUAUACAUUACCCUUCCUCAAGACCUCUGUAUUCAUUUUUAAAAUGGAAAUGGAUAUUGCACAUCCCCCUUUCCCCCCAAAAGAGCACAAGCCUCUAUUUUCUCUGUUUGUGAAACAUAAUUAAGGACUGUUGUGAGAAGCGCAUAUGCCCUUCCUAGCAAGCUUCUGACCAGAGAAACAUGCCUAGAUAUGUCCCAAAUCUCUAUGGACACCUAAUUCUACAUCAUUCUAUAUACAAAGGUGGCCCCAAAACACCACAGCCACGCCCCAAAACAUUUCUUCAAGCUCCUAGUACUGGUGUACCUGACUAUCAAUGGAAAAGCAAUGAAUAUCCAUGACAAAAUGGAAUGUAAAAACGGAAUGCAUGGAAACUAACAUGCAGUGGCUUCCAUGCAGAAAAAUCAGAUCUGAAUAACCUCUUUGCAAUAUAAAGCUGCCCUCUUAAAGCAUCCAUUGAUGGAUAAGAACAGAGCCUUUUGGAUUUGAAAGGAUUUUGAUUAAUUGCUACCUUCUCCAGGUUAAUUUACUCCAGUGUCAUGCCUAUUAGAAUAUUUAGCAUUUAUCUAUAAUGUAUUUCAAAUAUUAAAAAUCACUUCAUUUACAUUCAGAGCUUGGAAAAGUUACUUUUUUAAACUACAACUCACAUCAGCCACAGCCAGCAUGGCCACAGGAUUGGGCUGAUGGGAAUUGUAGUUCAAAAAAGUAACUUUUCCAAGCUCUGUUUACAUUAUAUCAACAAACUUUACAACAAUCCUUGAAGGUAGGUCAUAUUGUUGGGGCCAAGAGAACAGUGUCACCUAGUGGGUUUGUGACUGCAAUGAGAGCUGAACCAAAUUAUUUCCAGCUCACACUCAUCAAUGUAUUUUCAAAAUAUGUAAGAUAAUUCAGUGAAAAGCAAACUUGCUUCAAAUAAAUAAGGAUUUAGUGUAUCAUACCUGUCAGGAUUUCUACUAGUUAAGCUUGCUAGACAUCAGUUCAAAUCAAUAUUUUCAAAGCAGAUAAUGUAUACAUUAAGAUACUGUGCUUAUAGAGAGAGCAUCUAAUCUAAUGUCAUACAAAAUGAAUAGUGCAUUGUGCAAACAUUACAAAUAGCAAGGACAUAAAAUACUUUGACCUUUUUACAGCUCUGCAUGUUUUAAUCCCAAAUAU